rnacentral:tRNA from 1 species
GGUGGGUUACUCAAGUGGCUGAAGAGGCGGGUUUGCUAAACCUGUAGGGCGCAGCAAUGUGCCGCCGGGGUUCGAAUCCCCGACCCACCGCCA